rnacentral:lncRNA from 1 species
CUGCGGAAUUGAUUGUCUACAUUAUUUGCGGACCUGGCCAAAAAAAAAAAAAAAAAAACCGAGCAGGAAGGGACUUCCUGAAGAAAGACGUCUAAGGGGAAAUUCAUCAGCAUCCGAUGACAUGAUUGUGAGCCACGUACUGUUGAUCUUUCAUUGGCUACAAAUCUGUUUUUAAGCCACGCAUGGUGGCACACGCCGUUAAUCCUAGCCCUCAGAAAGGCAGAGACGGUGGAUUAUGUGAGUGCCAGGCCAGCCUGAUCUACGUAGGGAAUUACAGGACACCCAGGGUUCAAAAACAAAACAAAACCAAAAACAACAAAGAACCCACAAACAAGAACCCUGUCAACCCAGCUAACAUCGCUUAAGGGAGUAAAACGAGGUUCUGCAGAUCCAUCAGACUGUCAAGCUUAGCAGCAGGCUCUUGUACCCC